rnacentral:rRNA from 1 species
CUGGCGGCGUGCUUAACACAUGCAAGUCGAACGCGAAAGGGACUUCGGUCCUGAGUAAAGUGGACGCACGGGUGAGUAACGCGUAGAUAACCUGUCUUCAUGUCUGGAAUAAUACGCCGAAAGGGGUACUAAUACCGGAUAUUCUUGCUUUUCAUAAGUUAUGCAAGCAAAGGUGGCCUCUGCAUAUGCUACUGCAUGAAGAGGGGUCUGCGUACCAUUAGCUAGUAGGUGGGGUAAUGGCCUACCUAGGCGACGAUGGUUAGCGGGUCUGAGAGGAUGAUCCGCCACACUGGCACUGGAACACGGGCCAGACUCCUACGGGAGGCAGCAGUGAGGAAUAUUGCGCAAUGGGGGAAACCCUGACGCAGCGACGCCGCGUGAGUGAGGGAAAAGGCCUUCGGGUCGUAAAGCUCUGUCAAGAGGAAAGAAGUGUACAAUGGCUAAUACCUGUUGUAUUUGACGGUACCUCUAAAGGAAGCACCGGCUAACUCCGUGCCAGCAGCAGC